AUGCUCCACUUGGCAACACAUCUACUAAAAUUGGAAUGAUACAGAAAAGAUUAGCAUGGCCCCUGCAAAAGUGGGACAUGCAAAUUCGCAAAACUUUCCAUAUUAAA